GUCAUGAUUGUGAUUGGCUGCUGAGCAAUGUGCCGUUGCUAAGAUCAAGAUGCUGUGCAACAUGGAGUUUAGCGGAGAGCAAACUGGACCUCAUGCACGAGUCCUUCAUAAGUGAUCCAAUCAGCAUCAGGUGAGUGUCAUGAUUGUGAUUGGCUGCUGAGCAAUGUGCCGUUGCUAAGAUCAAGAUGCUGUGCAACAUGAAGUUUAGCGGAGAGCAAACUGGACCUCAUGCACGAGUCCUUCAUAAGUGAUCCAAUCAGCAUCAGGUGGAAUGUAGAGGGUGCAGGUUAAGAAGGACAUGGGAGAGGACCUUGAGUGAGUGUGUGUGUCAGAUCAUGAGGACUCGACCACCAGAAGAUAUUUGUGAGUGUCAUGAUUUUGAUUGGCUGCUGAGCAAUGUGCUGUUGCUAAGAUCAAGAUGCUGUGCAACAUGGAGUUUAGCGGAGAGCAAACUGGACCUAAUGCACGAGUUCUUCAUAAGUGAUCCAAUCAGCAUCAGAUUCUGAGAACUGUGGGGCCCAGACUCGACCAACAGAAGGCCAGGACUGUCACUUCUGAUGACCAAGCUGCAGGAUUAGUUUGAGAACCAAACCAGAAAUUGGAGAUGAGUGUGAAAUGAUUGUGAUUGGCUGCUGUCUCUCCCUGAGCAUAACAGUUCAAGAUCAAGAUGCUGUGCAACAUAGAGUUUAGCGGAGAGCAAACUGGACCUCAUGCACGAGUCCUUCAUAAGUGAUCCAAUCAGCAUCAGGUACCAAUAUCAUGUGUGAACAAGGUUGUGUUGUGCUGCUGAAGCCUGAAGGGAUGAUUUAUGCGACCAUUUGAGCCCUGUUUCUGGGCAGUGACAACUUUCAAUCUGACAUCAGGCAACAUGUUUUUAUCUGGAAGACUGAGAUCAGUAGCAGGACAUUUAAUGAUCAUGUUGCUUGUUGUG